AUAUAGACCCUUUGGGUGGAGGAAAUCGGCACUCUUGCAUCUCAAGAAACCCUAGAGCCGAUCUUCUCACCCUCUUCCCUCUCUCUUAUCAUCCUCUUGCUAGUUGGUGUUUGUAAGCCAUUAGAGGAGUGACAAUUGUGACUCUAAGCUCCAAAGACAAGAAGAUUCAAGCAAGCAACUCAAGGUAUUCCUUUAGAUAUGAUUUCAUAUGUUAUGAAUUUAAUGUUUACAUUAGAUCUAUCAAUCAAAGUCUUGGAUACAUGGCAUGUUCAAUUAGAGAAACCUAGAUCCAAACAUUAGGGUUUGCAUGUGCACAUAGGAAAGUUCUUAUGGCUCAAACCCAUCACCUUAUUCCCUCAUAGGGGAAUAAGGACUAAGUCUAUCGGAAACUGGUCAUCGAACAACUGAAGGGAACAUCCUAUGUGUACCCUCGUAACCCUAACGGUCCUAUCAGCUGCUAUCUCAACCUCAAGUGGACAAUCCAUAUCCCCUGCAGCUCUGCUAAACCUCUUGCUACGCGCAAGAUAGACGAAUGAUCGGGUAGCCCCCGAAUCAAACAAUACUGUAGCUGAUAUGACGUUCACUGAGAACGACCCUAUACAAAACAUAUAACCAUAAGAAACGAUCAAUAAUAAAUUCAGAGAUAAGGUGUAACCCUAGUAGCCAAUAGUAUAUAUAGACCCUUUGGGUGGAGGAAAUCGACACUCUUGCAUCUCAAGAAACCCUAGAGCCGAUCUUCUCACCCUCUUCCCUCUCUCUUAUCAUCCUCUUGAUAGUUGGUGUUUGUAAGCCAUUAGAGGAGUGACAAUUAUGACUCUAAGCUCGAAAGACAAGAAGAUUCAAGCAAGCAACUCAAGGUAUUCCUUUAGAUCUGAUUUCAUAUGUUAUGAAUUGAAUGUUUACACU
rnacentral:lncRNA from 1 species